AAGGAAAUGUCUUCCAAGAUCACAAUGGUGCUCUAAAUACCAUAAACCCUAAUAGAUAUUCCUUGAUAACUAAACAGCAAACACUCUUUAUUUACUUCUGAUGAAUAUAAGAAAUUUAAAUGUAGUAGGAAUUAAAUAUCUGAAAAGAAAAACUAUUUAAAGUAUACUACAAACCUAGGGUUAUAAAAAGUGUGUUUAAUGGCCUAAGUAUACAGCAAAACACAAAUUUUGUUCAUAGAGAACAGGUGGUGCUUCAAAAAUCUACUUGUAAACAGAUGUAUGGAAUUCAGAACACAUUUUCCCAUCAAAACAUUGUUGUAAUGGUGGUUAACUCCCAGUCAGGUUCACAAGGCCUAGUCAGUUGUUGGUGAGAAAUAUUUAUCCCACACCUGGGUUGCAUGUGACUGGUACUAGUGGUCUAAGUGGAGACACUAAUGAUGCCUGGGGAAUAAGAAUGGCUCUCCUUUCACUCAGAGCAGAAGCCUCUCAACUGAGUCCCUCUUCACAAAAGCUCGCAGCUGAAGAGAUGCCACCCCCAAGAUGAGUAAAUUGAGGCUCAGAAGGACUGGCCUUCCCAAGAUAAUAAACUUGUAAAUUGCGGAGCAA